rnacentral:pre_miRNA from 1 species
CAACUACUCCCUCUGUCCCAAAUUUCUUGUCUUAGAUUUGUCUAGAUACGGAUGUAUGAUGUAUCUAAUACUAAAAUGUGACAUCAUACAUCCGUAUCUAGACAAAUCUAAGACAAGAAUUUUGGGACGGAGGGAGUACUUU